rnacentral:lncRNA from 1 species
AUGUCAACGAGAACGGAGUGCAGAGUUUCCAGCUCCAGCUCCAGAUCAGAUGAAAGGAGGAGAUCAAGGAGCAGAGGACGAGAGAAAGGGAAGCGGAAACGCAGCCGGAGUAGAUCUUCUUCGUCUUCCUCUUCCAGUUCAUCGUCCUCAUCCUCAUCCUCCUCAUCGUCAUCGUCUUCUUCUUCGUCGGGUUCAUCACACUCAUCUAGCCGCAGUUCGAGUAGCUCUAGCAGUAGCGACUCUCGAAGUAAAUCCAGAAAGCAGUCUAAGAAAAGGAAAAAGGAGAAACAACACAAAAAAAAAGGAAAGAAAGAGAAGCGACAUAAACGUAAAAAAGACAAGAAAGCUAAAGGAGAGGAAAAUUCGGGACCUGUACAGAUAUCCAAGUACUUGAAGGACCGGAAAAAAGGGAAGUACAGUAUGAUUUCAGGGAAGAAGAUAAAGAUGAAAGUAAAGAAGUCAAAGAAAGACAAACAGCGGGAUAAAAAUCGAGCAGAACUUCUUGAGUUCUUGAACUCUACCCUGUGAUGCCCCUGUGUACGCCAGUAGCUGUUCUCAGGCCUGGACAUGUCAGCAGAACUCAGGACACAACAACUCAGCUCUCCAAGAAAAA